GACGAACGCUGGCGGCGUGCUUAACACAUGCAAGUCGAACGGUAAGGCCUUUCGGGGUACACGAGUGGCGAACGGGUGAGUAACACGUGGGUGAUCUGCCCUGCACUUCGGGAUAAGCCCGGGAAACUGGGUCUAAUACCGGAUAGGACUGCGCGGUGCAUGCCGUGUGGUGGAAAGAUUUAUCGGUGCAGGAUGGGCCCGCGGCCUAUCAGCUUGUUGGUGGGGUAAUGGCCUACCAAGGCGACGACGGGUAGCCGGCCUGAGAGGGCGACCGGCCACACGGGGAUGAGGACAGGGCCCGGAUCCCAAGGGGAGGAAGCGGUGGGGAUAAUGCACAAUGGGCGCAAGCCUGAUGCAGCGACGCCGCGUGAGGGAUGACGGCCUUCGGGUUGUAAACCUCUUUCAGCAGGGACGAAGCGUGAGUGACGGUACCUGCAGAAGAAGCACCGGCCAACUACGUG
rnacentral:rRNA from 1 species